rnacentral:rRNA from 1 species
UAAGGAAUAUUGGACAAUGGAGGCAACUCUGAUCCAGCCAUGCCGCGUGAAGGAAUAAGGCCCUAUGGGUUGUAAACUUCUUUUAGACGGGACAAAACCCCUUUACGUGUAAAGGGUUGAUGGUACUGUCAGAAUAAGCAUCGGCUAACUUCGUGCCAGCAGCCGCGGUAAUACGAAGGAUGCAAGCGUUAUCCGGAAUUAUUGGGUUUAAAGGGUUCGUAGGCGGACUAAUAAGUCAGUGGUGAAAGCCUGCAGCUUAACUGCAGAAUUGCCAUUGAUACUGUUAGUCUUGAGUACAGUUGAGGUAGGCGGAAUGUGUCAUGUAGCGGUGAAAUGCUUAGAUAUGACACAGAACACCGAUUGCGAAGGCAGCUUGCUAAGCUGUAACUGACGCUGAGGCACGAAAGCGUGGGGAGCAAACA